rnacentral:rRNA from 1 species
UACGUAGGGACCAAGCGUUGUCCGGAAUCAUUGGGCGUAAAGAGCGUGUAGGCGGCUUGUCAAGUCUUGCGUGAAAUCUCGGGGCUCAACCCCGAGCGGUCGUGAGAAACUGGCAGGCUAGAGUGCGGGAGAGGAGAGUGGAAUUCCUGGUGUAGCGGUGAAAUGCGCAGAUAUCAGGAAGAACACUCGUGGCGAAGGCGGCUCUCUGGAACGCAACUGACGCUGAGACGCGAAAGCGUGGGGAGCAAACAGG